GCGGAGACUGCGAGGCCCCUGCCAGGACCCAGCACAUGGUAGGAGCACAGCAGAGAACAUUGAGCAAGGGAGGUUGGCUACACAUGGGAGUGACAAGGAGCCUUUCAGGUCAAGGGGAACCCCCGGGGUAGGGUGUGCUGCCCUGUGGGCCAUGAGCUGGGGUGGCCUCCAGAAAGGUGGGCCCUUGCCUAAUCCUCUGGCAUUUCACUUCUUUGCCUCAGGUUCCUUGUCUGAAAGGUAGGGGUAAGCCCAGGAUGCGCGUGAGAGUUGGGGCUGCUGUGGAGACUGCCGGUGACACCCACAGGUGCGCAGCCCAGGAGUUGCCUGGUGAGCGGCGGGCUCCUCCUCAUUCUGGUUACUUUCCAUGGCGGCCCUUGGCUUUGGUCCUCUCCUGUCCCAAGCUGCCCACAGGGGAGAAGAAACGUCAGAAUCUCCAUGACGAGAGGUCUGGAGGACCCAGCAAAGACCAGCCACGGGUCAGACGCCUUUUGCGACAUCCCCAGGAGAAUCUGUGUUGCUCCCGGAAAUCGCCAUUCUAUUGCAGGUCAGCCCUGGAAGGCCUGGCUUGGAAACUUCCCUUAUGUGUGGGCUCUGGGUGCCUCUGUUUUCAUCCUGGCCCGUACCCGGGGUACCCACCUCAGCUGGGAGGCCAGCCCACACUCUCUAGAGGCAUACAGGUGGCAAUGCUGUUAUGUUGUAAUGCACACAAGUCUGACUGUGGAAGCCUGAACUGAGUCCCAGUUGCUCCCAUCAUGAACGCUUGGGGGAUGUCCUCCACGCUGGUGAGCUGGGCUACCCCUUGGAAACAAAGUUAUUGGCAGGCCCACCGUUUGGUUGUUGGGUUCCCUUGGGUUGCCCCACGGAGUAAGGUCAAACAGGAGAUAAGAACAGCUGAAAUGCACUGAUUACGUAACUAUGUGCCAGGCACUACUCUAAGAGCUUUAUUGGGACAAAUUAAUUUGAUUGCUAUAACCACAUAGUGACUUGGACAUUAUUACUCUUAUCACCCCUGUUUUACAGACGACAGAAACACAGAGUUUAAGGAACUCACUCAAAGCUGCACAGCCAACAAGUGGCAGAAACUUCAUGCUCUUGUUUUUUUUUUUAAGAUUUUAUUUGUUGGGGCGCCUAGGUGGCUUAGUGGGUUAAAGCCUCUGCCUUCGGCUCAGGUCAUGAUCCCAGUGUCCUGGGAUCGAGCCCCGCAUCGGCCUCUCUGCCUGCCUCUCUGCCUACUUGUGAUCUCUGUCUGUCAAAUAAAUAAAUAAAAUCUUUUUAAAAAAAAGAUUUUAUUUGUUGAUUUGAGAGAGCAUGAGAGAGCACAAGUGGCGAGGGGUGGGUAGGGUCAGAGGCAGAGAGAGAAGCAGACUGUCUGCUGAGCUGGGAGCCUGACAUGGGACUCGAUCCCAGGACCCUGACAUCAUGACCCGAGCUGAAGGCAGAUGCUUAACCAGCUGAGCCACCCAUGCGCCCAAGACCUCAUGCUCUUACCCAUUACAGACACUAUAAUACCUUUUAAGGUCUGAGGGACUGGGAUCGAGGGUGGUGGGCCAAGAAGACUACUUUGGCUCUAUCUGUAAGGUUUUCCACAGAGACUGUAUUCACAUAUUAGCUGAGUGAUUAAGAAGCCAUCCAAAAGGAAAAUAAAAUUAAGCUAUAUAUCUGGGACAGUCGGUGAAACUUGAAUAUGGCCUGGAGAUGAGAGAAUAACCCUAUAUCUGUGCUCUUUUGCUGAUUUCAGCGAU
ensembl:lincRNA